GUGGUGGCUCAGUGGCAGAGCACUUGCCUAGCAUGUGUGAGGCACGGGGUUUGAUUCUCAGCACCACA
rnacentral:tRNA from 1 species